GGUCAUUAAAUUCUAACAAUACAACUUAAAUACUAAUCCUGUGGCAUUACAAUUUCUGUUAGCUUGACAUGCCUGCAAUCAGGGAGUGGUGGUGUCUACGUCUAAUUGAGCGGUUUGAGACAGAGGGGUAUGUUUAUUAGUUUCUUUACAUCUCAGUUUGGUGUUUCAUUCUUUGUUCCUUUCUUGUCAGUAGAAAUAAUUGACCAAACUGAGGCAUUACAGGUUACUAAAUUAUUUAUACAUUAUACACUGGUUAUAUGUAAUUCUUAAUUAUACAUUAAAUUAUCAAUGCAGCCUGUUUAUUGUCCACAACAAGAGGUGUCCUAUUGGGGGCCAACAAUGUAGAUUUUUUUUUCUUUUUUAAAAGGCAUGGGAAAAGGUUCGCCCACUGGACAGAGGAGGCAAGAUGCCUGACUGAAGGGACAUUACGACCACUUUACAGGAGUUUUCCAGGACUAACACAUGACCUACCACAACAUGUUGUUGCCAGUAGGAACCGAAAGUUAUCCAACCAGGCUCUGGUGGACUUCAUUGUGGCAAGAGGAACCGAUAACCACAUUCAGUCCAUCAUCAGUGGACAAAAAAAAUCACAGUGGCUUGACACUUUUUCCAAGUGUUCCAUAAAGAAAGUGCCUGUGCCAUUGUUCAUUGAAGAUCAGGAACAAAUUGAUAUUAUCUACACUCACCUGACUUCAAUUCUGAACAGUACACCCACACACACCCACAGUGACCAGAUCAGAUUUAUUAUGGAUGUCCUUUUUCCAGAGGUAGGACUAAUGUGUUAGUUGUGCUCUGCAUGGUGUCAUAUUCACAUUGUUUUUA
ensembl:lncRNA